UUUCUAUGCACUUUCUGCAAAAAGAUCUAAAUGGUACUUCUCUGAAAAAGUAGUUUACAUCACAGUUCCUAAUGCGGUCAGUGUCCAUCUGAGUUCUGGAAUCAAACAAAAUUCUAAUUUGGGCGAAAUAGGCUUUAAUUCACAUGCAAACUUUACUAGUAUUUUCCUAUCAAUCCUGAAUGGAAUAUAUAUUUUUUUUUUUUGGGAUGAUAUGAUAUAAGGAUCG
rnacentral:misc_RNA from 1 species